rnacentral:rRNA from 1 species
CGCGUAGGCGGAGGACCAAGUCCGGGGUGAAAUCUUUCGGCUCAACCGGAAAACUGCCUUGGAUACUGGUCUUCUUGAGGGAGGUAGGGGCAGGUGGAACUUCCGGUGGAGCGGUGAAAUGCGUUGAUAUCGGAAGGAACGCCGGUGGCGAAAGCGGCCUGCUGGAUCUCUUCUGACGCUGAGGCGCGGAAGCUAGGGUAGCGAAAG